rnacentral:rRNA from 1 species
GUAAGGAAUAUUGGGCAAUGGGCGCAAGCCUGACCCAGCCAUGCCGCGUGCAGGAUUGACGGCCCUAUGGGUUGUAAACUGCUUUUGUACGGGAAAAAACCCCCGGUCGCGCACCGGGGCUGAUGUUACCGUAAGAAUAAGCAUCGGCUAACUCCGUGCCAGCAGCCGCGGUAAUACGGAGGAUGCAAGCGUUAUCCGGAUUCAUUGGGUUUAAAGGGUGCGCAGGCGGAACGUUAAGUCAGUGGUGAAAGCCUACAGCUCAACUGUAGAAUUGCCAUUGAUACUGUCGUUCUUGAGUAUAGUUGGAGUGGGCGGAAUGUAUCAUGUAGCGGUGAAAUGCUUAGAUAUGAUACAGAACACCAAUCGCGAAGGCAGCUCGCUAAACUAUAACUGACGCUCAUGCACGAAAGCGUGGGGAGCAAACAGGAUUAGAUACCCUUGUAGUCC